AGAGGGGUGUCCCCCCACACUGGUACUGACACACGGGCCCAGUCUUCUACGGGACGCAGCAGUGAGGAAUAUUGGCCAAGGGUCGGUAGCCAGAUACAGCUAUUCCGCGCACAGGAUGGAGGUCCCUAUGGAUUGUAAACUGCUUUUGUAAGAGAAGAAUAAAGAAUACGUGUACUUUGAUGACGGUACCUUGCGAAUAAGCAUCGGCUAUCUCCGUCCCAGCAGCCGCGGUAAUACAGAGGAUGCGAGCGUUAUCCGGAAUCAUUGGGUUUAAAGGGUGUGUAGGCGGGCUGAUAAGUCAGAGGUGAAAGCGCUUAGCUCAACUAAGCAACUGCCUUUGAAACUGUCAGUCUUGAAUGAUUGUGAAGUAGUUGGAAUGUGUAGUGUAGCGGUGAAAUGCUUAGAUAUUACACAGAACACCGAUAGCGAAGGCAUAUUACUAACAAUUUAUUGACGCUGAUGGACGAAAGCGUGGGGAGCGAACAGG
rnacentral:rRNA from 1 species